GCCAGGAUGGUGAAAUUGGCAGACACGCUACGUUCAGAACGUAGUCCUAGCAAUAGGGUGGGGGUUCAAAUCCCCCUCUUGGCC
rfam:Candidate division WS6 bacterium 36_33 MPI_scaffold_4672, whole genome shotgun sequence.